rnacentral:rRNA from 1 species
CCUACGGGAGGCUGCAGUGGGGAAUAUUGCACAAUGGGCGCAAGCCUGAUGCAGCCACGCCGCGUGUGUGAAGAAGGCCUUCGGGUUGUAAAGCACUUUCAGCGGGGAGGAAGGCGGUGAGGUUAAUAACCUCAUCGAUUGACGUUACCCGCAGAAGAAGCACCGGCUAACUCCGUGCCAGCAGCCGCGGUAAUACGGAGGGUGCAAGCGUUAAUCGGAAUUACUGGGCGUAAAGCGCACGCAGGCGGUCUGUCAAGUCGGAUGUGAAAUCCCCGGGCUCAACCUGGGAACUGCAUUCGAAACUGGCAGGCUAGAGUCUUGUAGAGGGGGGUAGAAUUCCAGGUGUAGCGGUGAAAUGCGUAGAGAUCUGGAGGAAUACCGGUGGCGAAGGCGGCCCCCUGGACAAAGACUGACGCUCAGGUGCGAAAGCGUGGGGAGCAAACAGGAUUAGAUACCCCAGUAGUC